rnacentral:RNase_P_RNA from 1 species
GGAGCGGGACGGAGGAUCGCCGGUGGGCAAACACCGCCCACGGGAGGAAAGUCCGGGCUCCACAGGGCAGGAAGGUCGCUAACGGCGACCCGGGGUGACCCGAGGGAAAGUGCCACAGAAACACACCGCCGAUGGCCGGUGAAGCCGCGAGCCUGGUGAGGGUUCGCGGGGGAGGCACAGGCAAGGGUGAAAUCGUGGGGUAAGAGCCCACGCACCGUCCGGGUGACCGGCGGUGGGGCAAACCCCUUCCGGAGCAAGCUCGAAUAGGGACGCCGCCGAGGGUGACCCGCCCGAGUCUCUCGAUGUCGCCUUGCGGCGGCGCCGGGGGGCCGGCGUCCGGGUGAGAGCGCUCGAGCGACGCAGCAAUGCGCCGCCUAGACGAAUGGUCCUCGCCGGCUCCGCAGCGUCCGGAAACGGGCGCUUCGGCGUCGGAACAGAACCCGGCUUACAGGCUCGCUCCGGUC